AUUGAACGCUGGCGGCAGGCCUAACACAUGCAAGUCGAGCGGAUGAAGGGAGCUUGCUCCUGGAUUCAGCGGCGGACGGGUGAGUAAUGCCUAGGAAUCUGCCUGGUAGUGGGUGAUAACGUCCGGAAACGGGCGCUAAUACCGCAUACGUCCUGAGGGAGAAAGUGGGGGAUCUUCGGACCUCACGCUCUCAGAUGAGCCUAGGUCGGAUUAGCUAGUUGGUGGGGUAAAGGCCUACUAAGGCGACGAUCCGUAACUGGUCUGAGAGGAUGAUCAGUCACACGGGAAGUGAGACACGGUCAAUACUCCUACGGGAGGCAGCAGUGGGGAAUAGUGGACAGUGGGCGAAAGCCUGAUCCAGCCAUGCCGAGUGUGUGAAGAAGGCCUUCGGAUUGUAAAGAACUUUAAGUUGGGAGGAAGGGCAGUAAGUUAAUACCUUGCUGUUUUGACGUUACCAACAGAAUAAGCACCGGCUAACUUCGUG
rnacentral:rRNA from 1 species